GGCUGGGGCUCAGUGGUGGAGCGCUUGCCUAGCAUGCAUGAGGCCCUGGGUUCGAUCCCCAGCACCCA
rnacentral:tRNA from 1 species